GACGAACGCUGGCGGCGUGCUUAACACAUGCAAGUCGAACAGUGGCGAACGGGUGAGUAACACGUGAGUAACCUGCCCUCCACUUUGGGAUAACUCCGAGAAAUCGGGGCUAAUACUGGAUAGUGGGGGAUGGGCUCGCGGCCUAUAAGUUUGUUGGUGAGGUAGUGGUCACCAAGGCGUGACGGGUAGCCGGCCUGGGCGGGCGACCGGCCACACUGGGACUGAGAGACGGCCCAGACGCCAACGGUAGGCAGCGGUGGAGAAUAUUGCGCAGUAGGCGAGAGCCUGAGGCGGCGGCGCCGCGUGGGGGAUGACGGCCUUCGGGUUGUAAACCUCUUUCAGCGAGGAAGCGGUACUUGCAGAAGAAGCGCCGGCUAACUACGUGCCAGCCGCCGCGGUAAUUC
rnacentral:rRNA from 1 species